UGGGGAAUUUUGGACAAUGGGCGAAAGCCUGAUCCAGCAAUGCCGCGUGUGUGAAGAAGGCCUUCGGGUUGUAAAGCACUUUUGUCCGGAAAGAAAUCCUUGGCUCUAAUACAGUCGGGGGAUGACGGUACCGGAAGAAUAAGCACCGGCUAACUACGUGCCAGCAGCCGCGGUAAUACGUAGGGUGCAAGCGUUAAUCGGAAUUACUGGGCGUAAAGCGUGCGCAGGCGGUUUGCUAAGACCGAUGUGAAAUCCCCGGGCUAACCUGGGAACUGCAUUGGUGACUGGCAGGCUAGAGUAUGGCAGAGGGGGGUAGAAUUCCACGUGUAGCAGUGAAAUGCGUAGAGAUGUGGAGGAAUACCGAUGGCGAAGGCAGCCCCCUGGGCCAAUACUGACGCUCAUGCACGAAAGCGUGGGGAGCAAACAGGAUUAGAUACCCUGGUAGUCCACGCCCUAAACGAUGUCAACUAGUUGUUGGGGAUUCAUUUCCUUAGUAACGUAGCUAACGCGUGAAGUUGACCGCCUGGGGAGUACGGUCGCAAGAUUAAAACUCAAAUGAAUUGACGGGGU
rnacentral:rRNA from 1 species